rnacentral:rRNA from 1 species
CGCGCCCUACGGGAGGCAGCAGUAGGGAAUUUUCGUCAAUGGGCGCAAGCCUGAACGAGCAAUGCCGCGUGAACGAGGAAGGUCUUCGGAUCGUAAAGUUCUGUUGAAGGGGAAAAAGAGCGGAGAGAGGAAAUGGUCUCCGAUUGAUAUUACCCUUCGAGGAAGUCACGGCUAACUACGUGCCAGCAGCCGCGGUAAUAUGUAGGUGGCGAGCGUUAUCCGGAAUGAUUGGGCGUAAAGGGUGCGUAGGGGGCCUGCUAAGUCUGGAGUGAAAGGGACCGGCUCAACCGGGACAGGCGCUGGAA